rnacentral:rRNA from 1 species
CGAACGGGUGAGUAACACGUGGGUAACCUGCCCAUCNAAGGGGAUAACACUUGGAAACAGGUGCUAAUACCGUAUAACAAUCGAAACCGCAUGGUUUCGGUUUGAAAGGCGCUUUUGCGUCACUGAUGGAUGGACCCGCGGUGCAUUAGCUAGUUGGUGAGGUAACGGCUCACCAAGGCAACGAUGCAUAGCCGACCUGAGAGGGUGAUCGGCCACAUUGGGACUGAGACACGGCCCAAACUCCUACGGGAGGCAGCAUG